GAUGAACGCUGGCGGCGUGCCUAAUACAUGCAAGUAGAACGCUGAAGGAGGAGCUUGCUCUUUCCGGAUGAGUUGCGAACGGGUGAGUAACGCGUAGGUAACCUGCCUGGUAGCGGGGGAUAACUAUUGGAAACGAUAGCUAAUACCGCAUAACAGUAGAUAUUGCAUGAUAUUUGCUUGAAAGGGGCAAUUGCUCCACUACCAGAUGGACCUGCGUUGUAUUAGCUAGUUGGUGAGGUAACGGCUCACCAAGGCGACGAUACAUAGCCGACCUGAGAGGGUGAUCGGCCACACUGGGACUGAGACACGGCCCAGACUCCUACGGGAGGCAGCAGUAGGGAAUCUUCGGCAAUGGACGGAAGUCUGACCGAGCAACGCCGCGUGAGUGAAGAAGGUUGUCGGAUCGUAAAGCCCUGUUGUAAGAGAAGAACGAGUGUGAGAGUGGAAAGUUCACACUGUGACGGUAUCUUACCAGAAAGGGACGGCUAACUACGUG
rnacentral:rRNA from 1 species